rnacentral:rRNA from 1 species
UACGGAGGGUGCAAGCGUUAUCCGGAUUCACUGGGCUUAAAGGGUGCGUAGGUGGGCAGGUAAGUCAGUGGUGAAAUCUCCGAGCUUAACUCGGAAACUGCCAUUGAUACUAUCUGUCUUGAAUUAUCUGGAGGUGAGCGGAAUAUGUCAUGUAGCGGUGAAAUGCUUAGAUAUGACAUAGAACACCAAUUGCGAAGGCAGCUCACUACGGAUAUAUUGACACUGAGGCACGAAAGCGUGGGGAUCAAACAGG